AUUGAGUUAACGAGUCCCAAAUAGGACGAAACGUGCGUCCUGGAU
rnacentral:hammerhead_ribozyme from 1 species